UUUAAGGGCUGGCAGCCACAAGGAAAGGAUGCCUACCUGGAGAUCCUUCCUUUUGGAGUGUUUGGUGAGCCCUGAUCAUUAGGAUGGGUGACCACAAGUCUUCUGCAAGUGCUGAAAAGCAGUUUGCUGCCCUUGCAUCACCAGCUGUGCGGACACAUUUAGUACCUGUGCUGGAUGGAUGGUGAGCUGCCUUGUGCUGAGUGGUACCUGGAGAGACUGAGCACACAGCCUUUGCUAGGUGCUGUGCAUAUAUUUCACUUCUUUUGCCUUUAUUUGAUGGGUGCAAAGGCUGAUGGAGUCUGGCCUGUAGGUGUAGGUGAGAGAAUUGUUACAAGAAGAUGUGCUGGGCUCUGCUUUAGGAGCUGGGAUGUACGCUGGAGCUCUUCUCCUGACCUGGAGCUGCCCUGAAAUGUGCCACUACUCUGACUUUCUCAAUGGAAGCUCGUGGGUGGUAAAAUGACUUGGGAAAAUCUGAUGCAAAACUGCUUAAAGAUAAAAAGUCAUCUGGGAACAUUGGUCAGAUGCUAUAGUCAUUAAAUUCUAGGUUUUUAAUCAGAAAAUUGUAGUGGUGUAACUUUAGUUUUUCAUAAACUACAUUCUACGUGCAGAUUCACAAGCCAGUUCACUUAAGCUCAGAUGAGAUCUCUGUAUUUUGCAAACUAUUACGGGCAACAAUUAAAAUUAAUACUGGAAGUACUAGAAUUGUUUUGUUUCCUCUCUUCUGAGCAAUAAGAACACUUCUGUUCUCUUCAUGCACAGAGGAGAACACAUGUAAAUUCAAACACUUCAGCUGUGUGAUUGAUGUAUUUCAUCUCACAGCUCUGUGAUCUUCUGGCUUCCAAAAGUCUCAGGUAGAACACACCGGUGUCUGAUGAGGCAGUGCAUUACUAGGCGAGGCCCCUUCUUGGCUCAGUAUUGUUUGAGGUGCAUUGCAUUCAGUACCCAGGCUUAAUUGCUGGUUGUAAUUAACAAUGGAGGUGGCUGUCUUUAAUCAUGCCUUUUAUGAGCCAGCUCAUAAUGCUGGCUAUCACAUAUCCACCGUGAGAUCUUGCUGCAGCCAUUGGGUGCAGUCCUUCUUUGCCCUCUUGUUGCAUGGAACAACCCUACCAGCCUUGCUUAGAUCCUUCCUAAGGGCUGGUGGAGUCACCCAGAGCUGUCUGGAAAGGCUGAGGUGUGGUGGGAUUUGUUUAUGGUCUCCUGCAGGAAGGUUGAGGAGUAGGGAGGGCACAAUGAUAGCAGCAGGUGAAGUGGUUGUGGCUCAUCAGCUGGUGAUGUGACUUGCUAUGUCCUUGAUGCUGGGUGCUUAUGGUGCUUCUCCAAAGAAGGCAUC